UGAAAAAGAUAUUUAGUGAAAUGUUAUUGACAGAAAACUUUUUGAAUUUAGUAAAGAAAUCGUAAUAACUGGUACACACAUUAAUUCAAAAUAUUUUUAGUAAGGACCAAAUAGAACAGUUUCUGAACUUUUCACUAAGAACCUCUUCAUUACUGAAAGAAUGUCUAAAAUGUUAUCGGUUAGGUCACUAACCCCAGAGGGAGAACCAAGCAAUGCUGGCAGAAGAAACAAGAGGUCCUGUGUCCUGGGGAUGUGAUGGAGGGCCUUCAGAGGCUGUGGAGACCAGGUGGCAUCCAGGCCAGACGGAAACUUGAGUGGAUGUCAAGGUGGGUGGGGCGGGGCCUUCAAGACCAGAGAAAACAAAGUCAGCCAAGACACUGAGUCACAGAAGUACUGCCUGUUCAGAAGACAGUGCUGCACGGGUUGUGGGUGAUGG
rnacentral:lncRNA from 1 species